UAGAGUUUGAUCCUGGCUCAGGACGAACGCUGGCGGCGUGCCUAAUACAUGCAAGUAGAACGCUGAAGAGAGGAGCUUGCUCUUCUUGGAUGAGUUGCGAACGGGUGAGUAACGCGUAGGUAACCUGCCUUGUAGCGGGGGAUAACUAUUGGAAACGAUAGCUAAUACCGCAUAACAAUGGAUGACACAUGUCAUUUAUUUGAAAGGGGCAAUUGCUCCACUACAAGAUGGACCUGCGUUGUAUUAGCUAGUAGGUGAGGUAACGGCUCACCUAGGCGACGAUACAUAGCCGACCUGAGAGGGUGAUCGGCCACACUGGGACUGAGACACGGCCCAGACUCCUACGGGAGGCAGCAGUAGGGAAUCUUCGGCAAUGGGGGCAACCCUGACCGAGCAACGCCGCGUGAGUGAAGAAGGUUUUCGGAUCGUAAAGCUCUGUUGUAAGUCAAGAACGAGUGUGAGAGUGGAAAGUUCACACUGUGACGGUAGCUUACCAGAAAGGGACG
rnacentral:rRNA from 1 species